CAAGAGAGAGAGAGAGAGAGAGAGAGAGAGAGAGAGAGAGAGAGAGAGAGAGAGAGAGAGAGAGAGAGAGAGAGAGAACUGUUGUAAAAAAGCAAGCCAGUCGAGUAGACGUAUGGAAGAAAACGAUAUUAGGAUAUCUAUCUCAGCACACAGACCAGAGAAGAAGACCACUGUCUUAUCAGUGAAGCAACACGACUCCGGAACAGUGACCAUGACCCUUAGUGCUCUAGAGGAAAGCUGGGAUAGUGGAGGUCAGGAAGUACAGAAGAGAGAGGAGGAGCAUGUAGAGCGAGAGUGGAGAAAUGGAAAGAAGCAAAGGAAAAGGCAGUUGAAAUGAGUUUAGCUCUGAAGGACUGAUGAAAACCUUCCGAAAAAAAAAUAAAACAAGCGGAAUUGCAGAAGGAUGUACAGUACCAGCUCUCCAAAUAUCAUUGGUUUGUUCGACAAACCCAAAUCAGACGGAACUCAAAGAGCUCCACGUCUGGAGUUUCCUUUCAUCAAGCAAACCCCGGCAGGCUGACGAUACUCUGAGUGGAACUCUGUCAACUUCCGCCUCUGUACGCCAUAUGAGC